rnacentral:lncRNA from 1 species
GGGUGGCCGGGGGAGCUGCGGGUCCGCCCUCGUCUGGCGGGUAUAGUGCUUAUGCCUACCUUUCAUCAUGGCCCUGAGGGUGCUUUCCGUGGACAGGUGGGGGUGGAUGGGCCACGCCCAAGGACACGGAGGCAGGGUCUUAGGACCCUAUUUCUUGGCAUUUAGCGUUACAUUAUUCAUUCCUUUGUGUUCUCACGGUCACCUGCUUGAUUGGCAGGCCCCGAGAGCGGAGCUGGGAUGUACGGUACUUCAGUCCAGUACUGAAAAAAAGGUCCUAAUAUGAUCAUCCUAGUGACGAGCAUCAUGUCAAGGCUGACUGCUACACAUUUUAGCCUCUGGAUCAUGCCUAGAUCACAACCCUUGUCCUGCCUCUCCAGCUCCCAGACCCUUGCUGUAGCUCCUCCUCCCAAUUUCCUUAAUGAGCACACUUUGUUAUAAUACUUUGGGCCUACAAAAGCAAAUACUGGGGUGAUUCUUGCUUUGAACAGCCUGAAUAUAUAAUAUUUGUAUUUUUCUUCUAAUGGAAAUACUUUUUAAAAUACAAGAUUUAUAAGAAAGAGUCAUGGAACUUGUUGGUAUAAUAUUUAGUCUCUCUGACAGUAUCCAAAAAAUAUUUGCUUUGGUUUUAACACCUGGUAUAGUUGCGUUUCCUUUGUUUAUUAACCUCAUUUGUUUUGGUCUUUCAGAUACCUAAUUGUGGGACUGACGGUAUUUUCCUUGGCUGUGAGGAAGUUUUAGAUCUGUAUAAGUGGACUCCUCCUGGUCUACGUGUAAGAUUUAAUAGGAUGUACCUUGUGUACUUAACUCAGUCCUGAAUUAGGUCCUCUCUUCCUGUUUCCUCACUAGCUCCGGAUUGAAUUUUUCUGAUGCUGUAGUACAUAUAAUUGUAAUUCUUUUUUAUCAUUUAAAAAAUAUUAAAAUUUUACUAGUACAUGUUUGCAGUACAUAAUGAUUAUAUUCAUUGUGGGGAACUGGUACACAUACAUGGCACAUUCAAUUCUUUGGUUUGUAUCAUUUUUGAAAACAGUAGAUAUUUUUAAACGUAUGUAUAGCUACCCACAAACUGGUAUUGAUUUCUGGUUGUAUAAUUG